GACGAACGCUGGCGGCGUGCCUAAUACAUGCAAGUAGGACGCAGUUGCGAACGGGUGAGUAACGCGUAGGUAACUGCCUAUUAGAGGGGGAUAACUAUUGGAAACGAUAGCUAAUACCGCAUACUAGUAGAUGGACCUGCGUUGUAUUAGCUAGUAGGUAGGGUAAUGGCCUACCUAGGCGAAGAUACAUAGCCGACCGGGGAGGGUGAUCGGCCACACUGGGACUGGGUCACGGGCCAGACUCCUACGGGAGGCAGCAGUAGGGAAACUUUGGGAAGGGGGGGAACCCUGACCCAGCAACGCCGCGUGAGUGAAGAAGGGUUUCGGAUCGUAAAGCUCUGUUGUUAAGGAAGCGGUACUUAACCAGAAAGGGACGGCUAACUACGUGCCAGCAGCCGCGGUAAUAC
rnacentral:rRNA from 1 species